rnacentral:rRNA from 1 species
UACGUAGGGGGCAAGCAUUAUCCGGAUUUACUGGGUGUAAAGGGAGCGUAGACGGCAUAGCAAGUCUGAAGUGAAAGCCCGUGGCUCAACCGCGGAACUGCUUUGGAAACUGUUAAGCUGGGGUACUGGAGAGGCAAGCGGAAUUCCUAGUGUAGCGGUGAAAUGCGUAGAUAUUAGGAGGAACACCAGUGGCGAAGGCGGCUUGCUGGACAGAGACUGACGUUGAGGCUCGAAAGCGUGGGGAGCAAACAGG